UCGAGUUUACAGCUCUCCAAACCCCUUGUGAACAUACCUAAUAUGUUGCCUCGGCGGGCAGGGGUCCCCCGGGACGCCCUCCGGCCCCGCCCCCGUAACAGGGACGUGGCGCCCGCCGGCAGGAUCCACAACUCUAUUUUUAAUUGUAACGUUCUUCUGAGUAGGCACAAGCAAAUAAUCA
rnacentral:misc_RNA from 1 species